CCUCGCAGCCAUCAGUUGAUGGUUCACAGGCUAACUAACGGUGGGCCAAGUUCGUCAAAUUAUCGAACUUCGUCUCAGACAUAGUCGGAUCCCCGAAUUCAUUCGGGGUUGCUUUGGUGUAAGGCGCAGCACCUACCCAAACUCGAUAGCUAUGGCGGAGGAAGGCGUGAGUUCGCUCCUUCCUUCCCCGUCAUCCAACUGUUCCGUAGGUGAACCUGCGGAAGGAUCAUUACAGAGAGGGGCUUCGUGCCCCAGGGGGUUCGCCCCCGCCUCUCCACCUUGUGAAAAUCAUACCUAUGUUGCUUUGGCGGGCCUUGAGGUCAUGCUCAUGCAGGGCUUCAGCCCGGCGAGUGUCCGCCAAAAGCCUACCUAAAACUCGUUUAAUCUAUGCGGUCAGAAUCUAUAUGUAAAUAAAGCAAAACUUUCAACAACGGAUCUCUUGGUUCUGGCAUCGAUGAAGAACGCAGCGAAAUGCGAUAAGUAAUGUGAAUUGCAGAAUUCAGUGAAUCAUCGAAUCUUUGAACGCACAUUGCGCCCCUCGGUAGUCCGGGGGGCAUACCUGUUCGAGCGUCAUUACACCUCUCAAGCGUAGCUUGGUAUUGGGCCUCGCUCCCUCACAAGGGCGUGCCUGAAAAAUAGUGGCGGUCCGGCGAGGCUUUAAACGUAGUAAAUUUCGUUUCGUUCUGAAGGCUCUCGUCGUGGCUUGCCAGAAGUAUUCACACUUUGUUCAAGAAUCGACCUCGGAUCAGGUAGGGAUACCCGCUGAACUUAAGCAUAUCAAUAAGCGGAGGAAAAGAAACCAACAGGGAUUGCCUCAUUAACGGCGAGUGAAGGGCAACAGCUCAAAUUUGAAUCUGGCUCCCAUCGGG
rnacentral:rRNA from 1 species